UUAAUCCUAGAAUAGUAUUUACUUCCCAUAUUAAUAAUAUAGGUAUGUAUUCAUUUAUACAAUCAGAAUUA
rnacentral:tRNA from 5 species